AACGAACGCUGGCGGCAUGCCUAACACAUGCAAGUCGAACGAGACCUUCGGGUCUAGUGGCGCACGGGUGCGUAACGCGUGGGAACCUGCCUUUAGGUUCGGAAUAACUCAGAGAAAUUUGAGCUAAUACCGGAUGAUGUCUUCGGACCAACGAUUUAUCGCCUUUAGAUGGGCCCGCGUUGGAUUAGCUAGUUGGUGGGGUAAAGGCCUACCAAGGCGACGAUCCAUAGCUGGUCUGAGAGGAUGAUCAGCCACACUGGGAGUGAGACACGGCCCAGACUCCUACGGGAAGCAGCAGUGGGGAAUAUUGGACAAUGGGCGAAAGCCUGAUCCAGCAAUGCCGCGUGAGUGAUGAAGGCCUUAGGGUUGUAAAGCUCUUUUACCCGAGAUGAUAAUGACAGUAUCGGGAGAAUAAGCUCCGGCUAACUCCGUG
rnacentral:rRNA from 1 species